rnacentral:rRNA from 1 species
AGUGAACGCUGGCGGUAGGCCUAACACAUGCAAGUCGAACGGCAGCACAGUAAGAGCUUGCUCUUACGGGUGGCGAGUGGCGGACGGGUGAGGAAUACAUCGGAAUCUACUUUUUCGUGGGGGAUAACGUAGGGAAACUUACGCUAAUACCGCAUACGACCUACGGGUGAAAGCAGGGGAUCUUCGGACCUUGCGCGAUUGAAUGAGCCGAUGUCGGAUUAGCUAGUUGGCGGGGUAAAGGCCCACCAAGGCGACGAUCCGUAGCUGGUCUGAGAGGAGGAUCAGCCACACUGGCACUGAGACACGGUCCAGACUCCUACGGGAGGCAGCAGUGGGGAAUAUUGGACAAUGGGCGCAAGCCUGAUCCAGCCCUACCGCGUGGGUGAAGAAGGCCUUAGGGUUGUAAAGCCCUUUUGUUGGGAAAGAAAAGCAGCAGGUUAAUACCCCGCUGUUCUGACGGUACCCAAAGAAUAAGCACCGGCUAACUUCGUG